CACUCGGUCCAUUAACAGCGAGUGUCCGGUGUACGGGUAGAUGCUACAGCCUCUGCUGCAGUGGCUACGAUACGUCACUACUACCGCCGUGUUUGUCAUAUUUGAGUUCGUUGUGUUAGCAAUGACCAUUUUUCAUGCUGUGCGUUAGGUAAAGCUGAGAAAUAGGCCUGUUUUUUACCAGGUGCUCUGAUGCAUUAGUUAUAACUGUCAUAGUGCACUAUGUGACUAUCCCGCGAAGGUGCGAGCUGCGUGCGUGAAAAGUGACAUUAAUGGCAGUCUCGCUUAGCGCCCUUUGAUAACGGAAUCAGUCAUCAGAUGUACCUGCACGACUUUACGCAGGAACGUCAUUUGUUUCGCGAGUAUAUUGUGCGAUUCAGCUCUCUGUUUGGCAACAACGACGAAGAUACUCCCAGCGAUAAUAUAUUUGAUGGUGCUGGGAACUCUGAAACGCUGCAGUACCGAAGUUGGAAACUGGACUGGAAAUUUUGAAGACAGUCGGAAGGCUGUGAAACCCUGUUCCUCAAGCGCUUGGCAGCUGCUGAAGUUGAAGCAGAGCAAGUGAACGGCGUGCGUUUUGUUGAUUUGUUAACCGGACUGCAGUAUUCUGUUCUUGUAUUUAACGUAGAGUGAUUAUCUGUGAUGUUCACCUACUGAAGAAUCGUAAAACGCUGUACUAUGAAAAUUGUGUUACCAAAUAAAGAAAGAUAA